rnacentral:rRNA from 1 species
GGCGGACGGGUGAGUAACACGUGGGAACGUGCCUUUAGGUUCGGAAUAGCUCCUGGAAACGGGUGGUAAUGCCGAAUGUGCCCUUCGGGGGAAAGAUUUAUCGCCUUUAGAGCGGCCCGCGUCUGAUUAGCUAGUUGGUGAGGUAAUGGCUCACCAAGGCGACGAUCAGUAGCUGGUCUGAGAGGAUGAUCAGCCACAUUGGGACUGAGACACGGCCCAAACUCCUACGGGAGGCAGCAGUGGGGAAUCUUGCGCAAUGGGCGAAAGCCUGACGCAGCCAUGCCGCGUGAAUGAUGAAGGCCUUAGGAUUGUAAAAUUCUUUCACCGGGGACGAUAAUGACGGUACCCGGAGAAGAAGCCCCGGCUAACUUCGUGCCAGCAGCCGCGGUAAUACGAAGGGGGCUAGCGUUGCUCGGAAUUACUGGGCGUAAAGGGCGCGUAGGCGGAUCGUUAAGUCAGAGGUGAAAUCCCAGGGCUCAACCCUGGAACUGCCUUUGAUACUGGCGAUCUUGAGUGUGAGAGAGGUAUGUGGAACUCCGAGUGUAGAGGUGAAAUCCGUAGAUAUUCGGAAGAACACCAGUGGCGAAGGCGACAUACUGGCUCAUUACUGACGCUGAGGCGCGAAAGCGUGGGGAGCAAACAGGAUUAG